rnacentral:rRNA from 1 species
CAAUAGCGUAUAUUAAAGUUGUUGCGGUUAAAAUGCUCGUAGUUGGAUUUCUGUCGAGGCGGCCGGUCCGCACUAUGUGCGUGUAUCUGGUUCGGUUUGGCAUCCUCUUGGGGAACGUUUCUGUGCUUGAUUGCAUGGGGCGGGAAUUCAAGACUUUUACUUUUGAUGGAAAAUUAGAGUGUUCACGGCAAGCUAUCGCUUUGAAUACAUUAGCAUGGAAUAAUAAUAUAGGGCGUAAGUUUCUAUUUUGUUGGUUUCUAGGACAUACGCAAUGAUUAAUAGGGACAAUUGGGGGCGAUUCGUACUAACGCGUCAGAGGUGGAAUUCUUAGAUUGCGUUAUGACGAACUACUUGCGAAAGCAUUUGCCAAGGAUGUUUUCAUUGGAUCAAGAACGAAAGUAUGGGGAUCGAAGACGAUUAGAU